AAAAGACAAAAUAAGUAAGUGACGGUGUUAGACAUGAAAAUAUACACACAGGUCAUGCUUGAAGGUAUAGGAACUUAUUAUAUGAUAUACAAGCCAAUGUUAAUAUACAGUACAUUACAUUUAUCAUGGUAUCAACCCAGGUAUUCAUAGAUGAGUCUAGUAUAUCCUGGCUUAAAGGAACUCUAGAGGGUUAGGAAUAAAAUCAUGUAUUCCUAACAAUAUAGUGUUUCCCUACCUAUGUAAGUGUCUAUCCCCCUAAUGGGGUUAAAAAUGUAAGAUUUGCCUAUCUUAAACAGACAUAAUAGACACCAAACCAACUUUAGCUUAAUAUAGCAGAUUUAGUGUAUAGAUCAUGCCUCUGCAGUCUCACUGCUUAAUUCUCUUUCAUUUAGAAAUUAAAUCACUUUGUUUAUACAGCCCUAGUCACACCUUCCUGAUUUACACAGCCUUCCUAAACACGUCCUUUAACAUGAGAUAUAAUGUUUAUACUUCCUUUAUUGCAAACUCUGUUUAAUUUACAAUUUCGUAUCUUCUGCUCUGUUAAUAGCUUGCUAGAUCUCACUGGAGCUUCCUGUGUGUAGCAGGAGACAAACACUUUUAAACUCAACAUAUGACUCAAUGCUCAUGGCUAGGCUCCACCCCCCCUACGUAUAGAUUUUUUUAUUAUAUAACAUAUAUAAAAAUAUUUCACAGUUCAAAAUAUUAAAUCAUUUGAAAAGGGCUUGGCCUCCAGACAACUACCAUAUAUACUCAAGUAUAAGUCUAGUUUUUCAGCACAUUAUUUGACUUAUACUCGAGUCAGUGUCUGUAUUAUGGCAACUUACAUUGCCGUAAUACAGACCAGGACCGCCGGGCUCAUUACAAGCCCGGCGGUCCUGUUGGGGGCUGACAGAUAGCUGUUACUUACCUUCCUGCUGCUCCUGUCAGCUCCCUUCUCCUCCACUGUAAGUCUCGCGGUGUGACUACCGCGCGGAUAACCCGUGGCAACGCUCUGACCCCGCGGCUCUCGCGAGACUUACAGUGGAGCUGACAGGAGCUGCAGGAAAGGUAACAGCUCUCUGCCAGCCCCCCUCCUAC